UUGCCUACAUCAGAGCUUGGUGGCCA
rnacentral:piRNA from 1 species